CAGACACCUCAUGUCAUCAUUAAAGCCAACGAGGGGAGCUCUGUAUCACAGACAUUCAUUAUGGGCAGCAAAAUCAAUGGACAUCUUUCAAGUAGAUCAACUCACAGUGCCACUGUUGAUAGAAGGAGAGCGCACACGUGCAUUCAACAGAGCAACUGCAAUGAUAGAGCCACAGAUUCCAUGGCAGUGACAGAUCCAUGUACACAAUCUACAUGUCAAGAUUCAUCAUGCCGAAAAAACGUUAGGGGCCAGAUAGUGUCGGCAAAGGUAUCUCUGGAGCGUGUGAAGAGAAGACAUUCCUCAUCCAGAAGAGAGGUCAGGGGCCAGAUAGUGUCAGCAAAGGUGUGUCUGGAGCGUGUGUGUAUCAACUGCAGGUCUCCACUGUACCAUUGCAAUACAUCACAGCUGUCUGCCCUCCCAAAGUGUCGUAAGUGUGGCCAUGCCGUGGUGUACAGGGAGAUGCCUCAAACUGUGACCGCUGACAUCACUCUGAAGACCACAACAGCGUCCGAGCCAGUGCUGCCUCUCUCUCUGUCUCACAGCCUCAUGCAGCGGCUAGUUCCUCUUGACCACACAGGGUGCCUCCAUAAAGAACUGGUGGAACAGCAGCUGUUGGAGAUGAAUGUGCGUGUAAUGGUGGAGGGUCAGGAAGUCAUCGACAUCUGUGGUAGA